GACGAACGCUGGCGGCGUGCUUAACACAUGCAAGUCGAACGAAGUGGCGAACGGGUGAGUAACGCGUAAUCCACCUGCACUUAAGAGGGGGACAACAGUUGGAAACGACUGCUAAUACCGCAAACUGAAGGGGGGGAUUGCGUAUGAUUAGCUAGUGGGGGGGGUAACGGCCCACCAAGGCGAUGAUCAGGAGCCGGGCUGAGAGGAUGAACGGCCACAUGGGGACUGAGACACGGCCCAGACUUCUACGGGAGGCAGCAGGGGGGAAUCUUCCGCAAUGGACGAAAGUUGGACGGAGCAACGCCGCGUGAGGGAUGACGGCCUUCGGGUUGGAAAGCUCUGUUAAGCGGGACGCGGUACCGGAAGAGAAAGCCACGGCUAACUACGUGCCAGCAGCCGCGGUAAUUC
rnacentral:rRNA from 1 species